GUACUUGCUUUGGCAGCACAUUAUAUUAAAAUUGGAAUGAUACAGAGAAAAUUAGCAUGGUCCCUACCUGAGGACAACACACAAAUUUAUGAAGCAUUCCAUAUUUUC
ensembl:snRNA U6 U6 spliceosomal RNA